GAGAAAUAUUUGUGAAACAGACAUUUUAUAAUAAACUAAUUAUAAAACCCAAUCUGACGGAUUCCAUUCAAAUGUUAAAUAAAGUGAUUUGCAUCAGCAGCUCCAUGCUCCAGCGCUCUGGGAGAGUUUAUAGUCCUGACAGUUGAACACUGGAUGACUGACAGCUGUCCUUCAUCACAGCAGAAGACACAGAAAUCCUCCUCAUCAUCAGAAACAUGACUCUGAUCUGCGUCCUCAUCUGGACUCUCCUCUGCUGCUGCUUCACAGAGGUCAGAGGUCAGGUCACUGUGACUCAGCAGCCUGCAGCAGUGAGAGCUGAUCUGGGAGGAUCUGUCACCAUCAGCUGUAGAACCAGUCAGAAUAUUUAUAGCAUCUAUUUAGCCUGGUACCAACAGAAAGAUGGACAAACUCCUAAGCUCCUCAUUUAUCUUGCCAGCACUAAAGCAUCAGGGACUCCAAGUCGCUUUACAGGCAGAGGAUCAAACUCUGACUUCACUCUGACCAUCAGUGGAGUUCAGGCUGAAGAUGCAGGAGUUUAUUACUGUCAGAGUGCUCAUUACAUCAACAGUCAGUAUCUGUUCACACAGUGAAAAAUCAUCGUACAAAAACCUCCGUCAGUCUGACUUUACAGUAACUGUUAUUUGUUCUGCAGCUGGAAUCUGCUGCAGAAACUGAUACAGUUCACUGAGCAAACACACUGGAUGUACACAGAGUCUAAU